GUGUGUCCUAGAGGGGAAAGACACCUUUCAGUAUGGCUGUAGAGAAACAUCGCCCUGCUUGUGACUGGAAAACUAGAAUGCAGUCAGAGAAAAGCUGGGGGAGGAUUUGCUCCUGACAUAGAGAGCAUGAAGGCACUGUGUAGCAGGAAGAUCACAUGCUUCUCCUGAUGUCUGGAUCGAUACAGCUGUCCAAGCGUGGAUUCUCUCUCUGUACUUGGCACCAAAUUCAUCUAAGCAGAAAUAAGGUGAUUGGAUAAAGCUUACAUGAGAAAGCAAGAAUAUGGAGAAGAGAUGUGGGGUGAUUGAGGAGGGGAAUGGAGAGAUGGAAGAGGGCAUCUUGGAGGAGAGCAGCUGAUCAUCCUUGUGAAAGUGUUCAUUCCACUUUUACUUUUCUCUUUUCCUUGGAACAGUUCUUGGAUGGACAGAUGAAAAGAUAGCAUAUCUCUGCUGAUGCUUACUUGGGUUGUUUUAAUCUUUUUCAUAAUAAAGAUGAGUUACAAUGAGCAGUCUUCAGUAUCUGCUGUUCCUGAAACUACUCCUGGAAUAAUUUGUCUUCUGAGGCUUGUGACUAACUGCUUCAACAUGACAACAAUCACAAGUGUGUAUUUCCAUUUUACAGUUUUAUAUGGGAACUAAAUCUGUUCUGUGUAAACGAAGCAAAAUAAAAUCCAUGUUUAUGAUCCUUGUAAAAAACUGAAGAGAAAAAAAACGAAAAAAACCAACAACAAUAAAGUUGGCUUACAGCCAGAUUACUUUAGUAUGGAAGCAUGCAUAAUAUCUUAAAUGCAAAAUCUGCCCAUUAGAACAGCGCAGAAAGGUUCAAAAGUCAAAGGCUUGAGCUGCUUCUUAACAUUGGUACAUUCUCUCUAAUUUUAAGGAAUCCCAUUAUUGUAAUACAGUGCCCCCCCUCCGCCCCACAAACACCCUAGACCACCAUCCUGCAUCCAAGUUGAUUCAAAAUCCAGUCUUCUUUCUUUAUGCUUGUUCUGUUUGCCUGAAAAAAACCUUGUCUGGUAAUGUCAAAACUUGCAUGGCAGCUUAGAAUUUGA